rnacentral:sRNA from 1 species
UUGUCUUUUUUUUAGUGGUUGUCUAUAUAUACAUAUAUAUAUAUAUCUAGUCACAGAAAUGACUAUUUUAUGAGACCUGAGUUGACAUAUGUAUAAUCAUUUUCUAGUGAAGAUCAUGAAAGAGGAAUUUGUUUUCUACAUUUAAUAGAAUUGUGGAUUUAGGAAACAAAAACUUUAGGACACCUGUACAGUUGUAUCACAUUUUACUUUUCAAGUUUGCUUGACAGGGUCAGUGCUGCUUGCCCAUUUAAUAAAGCUGGACAGCAUCCAAGUCAGCAUCUCAUCGGUCUUCGGAAAGCUGUCUACCGAACUCUAAGAGCCAACUUCCAAGCAGCAAGGCUAGCUACCCUAUAUAUGCUGAAAAACUACCCCCUGAACUCUGAGAGUGACAAUGUAACCAACUACAUCUGUGUGGUGCCUUUUAAAGAGCUGGGCCUUGGACUUAGUGAAGAGCAGAUUUCAGAAGAGGAAGCACAUAACUUUACAGAUGGCUUCAGCCUGCCUGCAUUGAAGGUUUUGUUCCAACUCUGGGUGGCACAGAGUUCAGAGUUCUUCAGACGGUUAGCCCUAUUACUUUCUACAGCCAAUUCACCUCCUGGGCCCUUACUUACUCCAGCACUUCUGCCUCAUCGUAUCUUAUCUGAUGUGACUCAAGGUCUACCUCAUGCUCAUUCUGCCUGUUUGGAAGAGCUUAAGCGCAGCUAUGAGUUCUAUCGGUACUUUGAAACUCAG